rnacentral:rRNA from 1 species
AUAUGCCACUAUACCAAUCUGCAGUCAACCAAUCUUGUCCAAUUUUGAAAGCUAAGCAUGACUGGACCUGGUUAGUAUUUGGAUAAGAGAGCAUCAGGGAUUUCAAUGUA